rnacentral:rRNA from 1 species
UACAGGGGGUGCAAACGUUGCUCGGAAUCAUUGGGCGUAAAGCGCACGUAGGCGGUUCGUUAUGUCGGAUGUGAAAGCCCUUGGCUUAACCGAGGAAGUGCAUCCGAAACUGGCGAGCUAGAGUACUAAAGAGGAUCGCGGAAUUCCCGGUGUAGAGGUGAAAUUCGUAGAUAUCGGGAGGAACACCGGUGGCGAAGGCGGCGAUCUGGGCCGUUACUGACGCUGAGGAGCGAAAGCGUGGGGAGCGAACAGG